GGCUCAGAACGAACGCGGGCGGCGUGCCUAACACAUGCAAGUCGAACGAGAAGUACGUAGCAAUACGUAUUGUAAAGUGGCGCACGGGUGAGUAACACGUGGGUAAUCUGCCCUUGAGUUUGGGAUAACCCCGCGAAAGCGGGGCUAAUACCGGAUAAGACCACGGGGACCAAAGUCCCUGAGGUAAAAGGUGGCCUCUAUUUAUAAGCUACCACUUGAGGAUGAGCCCGCGGCCCAUUAGCUAGUUGGCAGGGUAACGGCCUACCAAGGCAAUGAUGGGUAGCUGGUCUGAGAGGACGAUCAGCCACACUGGAACUGAGACACGGUCCAGACUCCUACGGGAGGCAGCAGUGGGGAAUAUUGCGCAAUGGGCGAAAGCCUGACACAGCAACGCCGCGUGGGGGAUGAAGGUUCUCGGAUUGUAAACCCCUUUCGAUCGGAACGAAUCCCCUCCUGGUAAAUAAUCAGGAGGAUCGACGGUACCGAGAGAAGAAGCCACGGCUAACUCUGUGCCAGCAGCCGCGGUAAGACAGAGGUGGCGAGCGUUGUUCGGAUUUAUUGGGCGUAAAGCGAACGCAGGUGGUUUGGUAAGUCAGGGGUGAAAGCCCACAGCUUAACUGUGGCAUUGCCUUUGAUACUGCCUUUCUUGAGUAGAGUAGGGGGAAGCGGAUUUCCGAGUGUAGAGGUGAAAUUCGUAGAUAUUCGGAGGAACACCGGUGGCGAAGGCGGCUUCCUGGACUCUAACUGACACUCAUGUUCGAAAGCGUGGGGAGCAAACAGGAUUAGAUACCCUGGUAGUCCACGCCCUAAACGAUGGGCACUAGGUGUGGGAGGUAUCGACCCCUUCCGUGCCGCAGCUAACGCAUUAAGUGCCCCGCCUGGGGAGUACGGCCGCAAGGUUGAAACUUAAAG
rnacentral:rRNA from 1 species